AUUAGGAAUCAGAUCUCAUCUAUAGAAAUCAAAUUUUAACUUAUUUUUCUAUCAUAUGAACCUAUGGCUUGGAUACACUACUGGGUUUUGUUAGGUGUCAUGCAUGCAAAAUUUUGAAAAAUAUUUGAAAAAGCAGUGGAAGAAUAGUUUAAAACAACUUUUAAUCUAUGCAUGCAUAGAUCAAAUCCUAAACCUAUGGAUCUAGUUAAUAUGAUUAAAAAUGAGAUAGUCAUGU
rnacentral:lncRNA from 1 species